GACGAACGCUGGCGGCGUGCCUAAUACAUGCAAGUUGAGCGCUGAAGGUUGGUACUUGUACCAACUGGAUGAGCAGCGAACGGGUGAGUAACGCGUGGGGAAUCUGCCUUUGAGCGGGGGACAACAUUUGGAAACGAAUGCUAAUACCGCAUAAAAACUUUAAACACAAGUUUUAAGUUUGAAAGAUGCAAUUGCAUCACUCAAAGAUGAUCCCGCGUUGUAUUAGCUAGUUGGUGAGGUAAAGGCUCACCAAGGCGAUGAUACAUAGCCGACCUGAGAGGGUGAUCGGCCACAUUGGGACUGAGACACGGCCCAAACUCCUACGGGAGGCAGCAGUAGGGAAUCUUCGGCAAUGGACGAAAGUCUGACCGAGCAACGCCGCGUGAGUGAAGAAGGUUUUCGGAUCGUAAAACUCGGUUGGUAGAGAAGAACGUUGGUGAGAGUGGAAAGCUCAUCAAGUGACGGUAACUACCCAGAAAGGGACGGCUAACUUCGUG
rnacentral:rRNA from 1 species